rnacentral:misc_RNA from 1 species
GAUGAAGAACGUAGCGAAAUGCGAUAAGUAAUGUGAAUUGCAGAAUUCAGUGAAUCAUCGAAUCUUUGAACGCACAUUGCGCCCGCCAGUAUUCUGGCGGGCAUGCCUGCUCGAGCGUCAUUACAACCCUCAGGCCCCCGGGCCUGGCGUUGGGGAUCGGCGGAGCCCCCCGUGGGCACACGCCGUCCCCCAAAUGCAGUGGCGGCCCCGCCGCAGCUUCCAUCGCGUAGUAGCUAACACCUCGCGACUGGAGAGCGGCGCGGCCACGCCGUAAAACACCCAACUCUUCUGAAGUUGACCUCGAAUCAGGUAGGAAUACCCGCUGAACUUAAGCAUAUCAAUAAGCGGAGGA